rnacentral:sRNA from 1 species
GUCAACUACCCCGCCCUAAAGGACGGAGCUUGCAAGAGCUAGGUUGACCAGACUCAGUGCCGACUUGCCCUGAGCGUAGUCGAAGGGAAG